AACGAACGCUGGCGGCAUGCCUAAUACAUGCAAGUCGAACGAGAUCUUCGGAUCUAGUGGCGCACGGGUGCGUAACGCGUGGGAAUCUGCCCUUGGGUUCGGAAUAACUUCUGGAAACGGAAGCUAAUACCGGAUGAUGACGUAAGUCCAAAGAUUUAUCGCCCAAGGAUGAGCCCGCGUAGGAUUAGCUAGUUGGUGGGGUAAAGGCCCACCAAGGCGACGAUCCUUAGCUGGUCUGAGAGGAUGAUCAGCCACACUGGGACUGAGACACGGCCCAGACUCCUACGGAGGGAGGAAGUAGGGAAUAUUGAACAAGGGGGGAAACCUGGUUCCAGAAUGGCGGGGGAAGUAAUAAAGGCCUUAGGGUGGAAAAGCUUUUUUACCCGGAAGGAAAAUGACAGUACCGGAGAAUAAGCUCCGGCUAACUCCGUG
rnacentral:rRNA from 1 species